CGGAAGAUUGAUCGUCGAGGGGCAGGGCGGCAGCGGUUGGGGGGGGCGGCCGGGCGGGGGGAGGCGGCAGUGGCAGUUGUUGUGGAGGUGGUGCUCUUAGUUGACCGGCGAGUCGGGGUCUCGGCGUGUGUCCUGAAGAGAAAACCCGGAAGCCAGCGGCUUGGAAUGCGUGGCGGGCUGAUGCCAAGGAGAGAAGCCUGUUUCACAAGUUAAGAAGAAAGAAAAGAACGAGCAAGGAGAGACAUCCUUCAAAGUGGUGGAGCAAAAUAUCCAGUUCUCUACAGCAAGACUAUGAGCUGCCAAGACAUGGCUGCAAGCCACAUUCAAGGACACUACGAGCCAAGGCCAAAGCUAGGAAUGGAUCUUAUGGGAUGAAACAUGCGAUUAUAUUGGAACUGUACGCAGCAGUAAACUGGGAGGGUAAGGAAGGACAGCUUUAGACUGAGCUUUUAUGAUGCCACUGCUUUGCCUCAAUCAGUGAAUUUUAUAAGGAUCUCAGCUACUCUGCUUGUAACCACCUUCUUCCCCAUCCCCCUCACCACCACUUCUUCCAUCUUUUUCCUUACUGCAGAAAAUUUAGGAGAAAAAAAAAAGACAGAAUAGCUGCACACACAAUGCUUUCUAAUUGCUAGUACAUGGAGCCCUCCAUCUGGAUAUGCUGAAAAUGGACUAGAUUAGCAAAAUGAAGUUGACAAGCAGAACAGUCAGACAGGAGUAGCACAGAAGCGCCGAAGAGUCUGCAAAAGGACAAGUGGCAGAGAGGCAGAGGCCUGCCUUACUAGUAAAGGGAAGCAGCUGAUGAUGACUAAAGGGUGACUCAGCACCUUUUCUUGGGAGUGGUUCUCUGCAGCAGACUCACAACACCAUCUCCUGAUCUUGACUAAAAGCAUCUACUAAAGCAGGUAGCUUUGUAAUGCCAUUAGAAACAGUUUGUGCAGAUUCCGGAGCUUGGGCAUAUUACUUUAUUGAAUCACAGCGGCCAGAAUCCCCUGGUCAGUGGGGCCACUGAGCAUGCUGGUUGGGGAAUUCUGCGAGGUGUAGUCCAAAAAAUAAAAAAUAAAAACAUGCCCA
rnacentral:lncRNA from 1 species